ACUCAAAUGAAUUGACGGGGGCCCGCACAAGCGGUGGAGCAUGUUGCUUAAUUCGAUGCAACGCGAAGAACCUUAUCCAAGGCUUGACAUCCUGCGAAUUUCCUAGAAAUAGGGAAGUGCCUUCGGGAGCGCAGAGACAGGUGGUGCAUGGCUGUCGUCAGCUCGUGCCGUGAGGUGUUGGGUUAAGUCCCGCAACGAGCGCAACCCUCAUCGCCAGUUACCAGCGGGUAAUGCCGGGGACUCUGUCGAAACUGCCCGAGCAAUCGGGAGGAAGGUGAGGACGACGUCAAGUCCGCAUGCCCCUUAUGCCUUGGGCUGCAAACAUGCUACAAUGGGCGGUACAAACGGCUAGCCAGCCCGCGAGGGUGCGCGAAUCCGAAAAAGCCGUCCUCAGUUCGGAUUGGAGUCUGCAACUCGACUCCAUGAAGGCGGAAUCGCUAGUAACCGCAGGUCAGCAAUACUGCGGUGAAUACGUUCCCGGGCCUUGCACACACCGCCCGU
rnacentral:rRNA from 1 species